CAGUCGCCGCGGUAAUACGAGGGGGGCAAGCGUUGUUCGGAAUUAUUGGGCGUAAAGGGUGCGUAGGCGGUUUGGCAAGUUUGGUGUGAAAUCUUCGGGCUCAACUCGAAGUCUGCAUCGAAAACUGCCGGGCUUGAGUAUGGGAGAGGUGAGUGGAAUUUCCGGUGUAGCGGUGAAAUGCGUAGAUAUCGGAAGGAACACCUGUGGCGAAGGCGGCUCACUGGACCAUAACUGACGCUGAUGCACGAAAGCGUGGGGAGCAAACAGGAUUAGAUACCCCUGUAGUCCCUGUCUCUUAUAA
rnacentral:rRNA from 1 species